UUGGAGGGAUGAGCACUCGAUAAGCAGAAGCUAUUAUUGUGCCAUGAGUAAGUCUGAUGGGGCAGAACUGGGAAGCUGAAGCCUUUAUCUAGCGUUCCCAUGCCUCCACGCCCAGGUUCAUUCCUCUCUGGUUGGGCAGAGGGAGCAAGCCUCUAGGGAAGCAGCCCUCUUUCUAGGGAGGAAGGUGGUGGAGGACGGGUUGGGGAGGGAAGGACGUUAAUUGAACUCAGUCUAGGCUAACCCAAGAAAGGGAGGAGGGAGCCAGCAUUUGCCAAGCAUCUUGCCUGAAUCCGGAUCCCCUGCUUCAUCACCUUAACCCCCAACACUGUGUUGGGGGAUGAGGAUACCGAGUCUCGGCGAGGCUAAGUGACUACAGCCAAGUCAUGCGGUGCAAGUGGACGGCGUUCUGUGCUUGGCUGACAUCCUGACCGAUGACAGCCAUUCAGAGGCCACGCGGGCUGAGGCUGCGGCUGUGGUCGCCCAGGUCACCUCCCCACACCUGCCCUUUACUCAGCACCUCGGCAGCUUUCUGGAGAGCAUGGAAGAAAUCGUGACAGCUCUCAUCAAACUGUGCCAAGAGGCGUCGUCUGGGGAAGUCUUCCUGCUGGCUUCUGCGGCCCUUGCCAACAUCACCUUCUUUGACACGAUGGCCUGCGAGAUGCUUCUCCAGCUGAACGCCAUCCGUGUCCUCCUGGAAGCUUGCAGCGACAAGCAGAGAGUGGAUACGCCUUACACCCGGGAUCAGGUGAGCAGCCCAGAGGGGAGCAGGCACAGAGCCUGAACCCACUCUCUACCUCAC